rnacentral:snRNA from 1 species
GUGCUCACUUCGGCAGCACAUAUACUAAAAUUGGAAUGAUACAGAGAAGAUUAGUAUGGCCCCUGCACAAGGAUGACACGCAAAUUUGCGAAGCAUUCCAUAUUUCA